AUUGAACGCUGGCGGCAUGCCUUACACAUGCAAGUCGAACGGCAGCACGGGAGCAAUCCUGGUGGCGAGUGGCGAACGGGUGAGUAAAGUAUCGGAACGUGCCCAGUCGUGGGGGAUAACGUAGCGAAAGUUACGCUAAUACCGCAUACGAUCUACGGAUGAAAGCGGGGGAUCGCAAGACCUCGCGCGAUUGGAGCGGCCGAUAUCAGAUUAGGUAGUUGGUGGGGUAAAGGCCCACCAAGCCGACGAUCUGUAGCUGGUCUGAGAGGACGACCAGCCACACUGGGACUGAGACACGGCCCAGACUCCUACGGGAGGCAGCAGUGGGGAAUUUUGGACAAUGGGCGAAAGCCUGAUCCAGCCAUGCCGCGUGCAGGAUGAAGGCCUUCGGGUUGUAAACUGCUUUUGUACGGAACGAAAAGGACUGCCCUAAUACGGUGGUCCCAUGACGGUACCGUAAGAAUAAGCACCGGCUAACUACGUGCCAGCCGCCGCCGUAAGAC
rnacentral:rRNA from 1 species